rnacentral:rRNA from 1 species
UACGUAGGUGACCAGCGUUGUCCGGAUUUACUGGGCGUAAAGAGCGCGCAGGCGGUCGUUCAAGUCGAGUGUGAAAGCCCCCGGCUCAACUGGGGAGGGUCACUCGAUACUGAUCGACUUGAAGGCAGGAGAGGGAAGCGGAAUUCCCGGUGUAGUGGUGAAAUGCGUAGAUAUCGGGAGGAACACCAGUGGCGAAGGCGGCUUCCUGGCCUGUUCUUGACGCUGAGGCGCGAAAGCUAGGGGAGCAAAUGGG